CAAAAUACAUAUCUGUAGUAGGCUUCUUUUACAGUCAACAGAUUGAAAAGGUGCUAUUGAAAUUUUUUAAUAGUUUUAAUUUUUAAAGUAUGUGUUUUCAAAUGAAUAAUAAGCAGUAUAUCUCUUUUCUCAAAUAAAAUAUAUCUUUACUGUUGUUCAGUCACUGAGUCAUGUCCAACUCUUUGUGAUCCCAUGGAUUGCUGUAUACCAGGCUUCCCUGUCCUUCACUAUCUCCUGGAGUUUGCUCAAACUCAUGCCCAUUAAGUUGGUGAUGCUAUUUAACCAAUCUCAUCCUCUGUCUCCCCCUUCUCCUCCUGGCCUCAGUCUUAAUGAGGGUCUUUUUCUCCAAUGAGUUGGCUCUUUGAAUCAGGUGGCCAAAGUAUUGGAGCUCCAGUUUCAGCAUCAGUCCUUCCAAUGAAUAUUUAAGGUUGAUUUCCUUUAUGAUGGACUAGUUGAUUUCUUUGCUGUCCAAGGGGCUCCCAAGAGUCUUCUCCAGCACUACAAUUCGAAAGCACCAAUUCACAGAAUUUAAAGUGUGAUACUUUCAAAUAAAUAAUAAACAGUAUUGGAACAAAUACUGCAACAAAGGCUGCCACAUUGGAACAAAGCCUGCAGCACUGGAACAAGCUUAGCAUUAUUUCACUUUUUCUUUUUCCUUUUGUUUGUUCAUUCAUUUAAACAUAUACUUCAGAACUGCACUUUGUCAAAAAACCUUUUCCUUCUCUUUUUAGUCCCUGGCCAGCUAAGAUUUUUUACUUUCAGAUACUGCAAACCGAUUUCUAGAGCAUCUACAUCUUAAGUGCUCAAGUGUCUACAGUUCCCUCUGGUGUUUGGUUGAAGGACAGAAUCACACGAAAAUGAAAACUCAAAAACUGAACUUCACAGAGGUGGUUUUGUGCUUUCUAGCAUCUUGUACAGCAAACACUGGCUCAACUUCUUACCCCCAAAAUAUGUCUCCAGUAGCUGUUGGGUCUGCCAUGACCACAGUGCGAUCUGACCAGACACUUCUGCUGGACUCCUUUCCAGCACCUGGCAGCUGUGACCCUGGAAGGCAGUGCUGUAGCCACCCAGUCGAGCAGAGGUGAUGUUGUAGUUGUUAAGUCUGUAUGCAUGAGAGAAAAAUAUAACAACAUGAGUUGGGAGUAAAGUAAUCAGGCAGUAAAGAGAAUGAACAGUAAGAACAAUGGACCUGGUCAACAGAGCUGUGUUGUCAGAAGAGAGACAGUUGUUGGACACCGGGAUGCAUCACGCAGGGAAUGGAGGGAAUGGGCUUCAGUGCAGAAGUGAAGAUUGCCUUCAGCCACAGCUGGCCUCCGUUCUUUAGGGAAGUACAGCCAGCCUUCUUAGUAAGGGUUGUCGCAAUCAGAACUCUGAUUGAAGAUGGGAAGUCUGCCUACAACAGAUGACAGGGAUUGUAGGGACAGAAGGUGGACAGUGGAGUCAAGUCAGAAGGCUGUUGUUAGAAGGGGGAAAGGUCUGCCUUAGUGGCAGUAGUCAUGACAGGAGGACAUGCACAGAAGCAAAGACCACAGAACUGAUAGCACUGACCACUGGCCAAUGUCUUGGACCAUGAGAUAAGAAGAAAUUUAAAACAGGAAUCUGAAAUUGUGGACAUGGAAAACUGAUGGGUGAUGGUAUUGGCUGACUUUAGGGAUUGCAAGAAAUACACACGCGGGACCAGAUAAAAGGGUAGAUUUUACAGGACAUUGCAGUGGAAAUGAUAGGAAACUGGAAUUCACUGAUGGUCUUAGAGCUCAUGGGGAAAUGGAUAGGAGUCAGAGGGCCACGCUGUGAAGUUAAGUAGUGGUCCAGCUUGACAUGAGGCAGCUCAGCCUCCUAAGUGCUCAAAGAAUGUAAAAGAGAAACAUGCCCUCUGCACAACAGCAUCCCGCCUGACUUGACUGCUUAGACUUACAUUUUCUUUCUUUUUCUUCUUUUCAGCUUUCUGUUUAUAAAAGAUAUACAUGCUAAUCCUAGCAAAUUUGGAAAGAACAGUUUAGAAAUAGGAAAAAAGAAAAUUUCUCUGAAUCCCACGCAAAUUCUUUCUUUCUCUCUUUUGUUUUCCAUUUGGUAUUUUCAAAAAAGUUGGGGAA
rnacentral:lncRNA from 1 species